AUUGAACGCUGGCGGCAUGCCUUACACAUGCAAGUCGAACGGCAGCGGACCUUCGGGUGCCGGCGAGUGGCGAACGGGUGAGUAAUAUAUCGGAACGUACCUUUCAGUGGGGGAUAACGUAGCGAAAGUUACGCUAAUACCGCAUAUUCUGUGAGCAGGAAAGCAGGGGAUCGCAAGACCUUGCGCUGAUUGAGCGGCCGAUAUCAGAUUAGCUAGUUGGUGAGGUAAAGGCUCACCAAGGCGACGAUCUGUAGCGGGUCUGAGAGGAUGAUCCGCCACACUGGAACUGAGACACGGUCCAGACUCCUACGGGAGGCAGCAGUGGGGAAUUUUGGACAAUGGGCGCAAGCCUGAUCCAGCCAUGCCGCGUGAGUGAGGAAGGCC
rnacentral:rRNA from 1 species